AAUUAACAACGUAAUAUUUUUAUUUUUUCGUCUGCCGACGUUAAGUUUGAAUCACUCGGGAAUCGCGAUUAUAUGAAAUUUGAACAGAACUACAGUGGUACAGAGUUCUAUUCAUACAUAAUUUUAGAACAUAAUCACCAUGGAUAAGUGUAUUCUUUUUAGCAAAACAACCAAUGUAUCGCCUCGCCGCCACAUUACGUUAAUUUUCAUUUGUAAGUAGGUAUUAUUUUCAAAUUGCACUGUUUAUACUUCUUAAUAAUAUGGAGUCAGUCUAGUUUGCUAAUUUGUUCACAGAUAUAGAUUUCCAAAAAAUCAAUGAAAUAAAGACUAAAAAUCUUCGAAUUAAAUGAUUAUCCCAAUUUCUACCUGGCAUAGAAUCUGCGGCAAUCAUUUCUCAAUUAGUGAUUGUAAACAAUGCUCAGUAAAUUAGUAAACACGGUCAGAGGCUGUCUCAAAACAUAAUCCAAACCACUUGUCUGGGAUAGAGAAGUAAAAUUAAUUUUAGUUAUUUACGGCAACAUCGGUACUACUCUGAGCACGACUAGGAAAUCGCAUCUAAGAGAAAACUUUGUUUCUCCAACGAUGGGUUAGCAGAAAAUGAACAGACGAAUAAAGGGUUUCGAGGACUUACAGUUGAUGAUUUUGAUUAGCCCAGAAAAGCCUUACAUACUGAUUAAUGUCUAAUUCACACACACUUAUUUCAUAGAAUGGAUUAUACUUAUUAUUGUUUUCGAAAUUGAAAUAAUAUAUUAUGUACCUACCACAUACAAGGAACUAAGAAGUGGAGCCAGUGUAUUGACAAUUUUUCAGACGUUGACUUUCUUGAAGAUAAUUCUACAGACUCAGAUGAAGCCAUAUAAUAUUGGAGCGAAUUGUGAAACUUAAAGGUAAUACAAUUUUGCUGAGCAAGAAUUAAAUUUUAAUAAAGCAGAGAGCCUCAAAGAAACACAUAACUACUAUGGGCAUUGGUAUCUUUCUUAAAGGGAAAGUGCAUCUAGUUGGAUGCGUUAAACAGGUCGUCAAACCCGUUCCCAUUUACAACGAGGAAAUACAAUCUUCAUUGUAAAAAAGAGUAUGCAAUUACCAAAAAGAUUCAGUGGUUGUUAUUAAAAUACUUCAACUAUCGACAAUGGACAUAAUUGAUGAAGACUUAUAUUAUAUUGUGAUAGGUACCUAUUUCCUUUAAUUUGUGUACUUAUUUUUCCUAUGUUUCCCCCACCACCCAUCAGAAAGUAAUUAGUUACUUUAUUUAACCAAAAAAAAACUAUACCUAUACACUGUGCAGUUAUGUUUGUGAAUAAAAUUAUUUUGUCAAUGACCAAUUUAUGAAAACUCUAUUUUCAAAUUGUAUAACAAAAAAGAAAAGUAGGUAGGUUACGUUAGCUUUGUACCUGUUUAAAAUCAUUAUAAGUUAUACUAUCAUACUUUUCAUAUUUGUCGUAUUGAUAGUGUAUAUGUAUAUUUAAGUUUAGAAAUAUAUGACUAAUGUAGUCUAUGGACUUAAGUCUAAUAAAUUUCUACUUUUUAACUUAAUUUUCUCUGUGUUUAUUAACUCAAUCUAUUUUAAUAUGAUUAAAGCGCGAAUUCGUAUGAUUUCACAUAUUUAGUCUGGUUGAUGGUAUGAUAUGCUAAUAGUGAGCACAGAAUUAGUUUCAUGACGAUAACGAUUUACACUGUGAAUCUUUUG